UACCUAAAUGGCGGACGUUUUGGAAAGAGAAACAAAACAAUUUAAUAUCUUUAAAAAGAUAUACGGCGUUGAUGUUGUAAUGUUUGCGACCAGUGAAAGGAGAUGGAAUGGAGCGACCAUGUAUUUUAAUGAAGAGUCUAAAGCGCCAGCACUCAUUCUGUGAGAAUGCAACUCGAAAGAAACAGGAUCGGUUCAUACGACGACUGUCUGGGACCCUCUACAACACCAGUUUUAACCAUCACGAGUCAGUGAGACAAGAGAGGCAGACAGACUGAUGUAAAAGCCCAAACCACAUUUGGGCUUUAAAAGUCUUGAUCCAAUCUACAGGAAAUUGUGUAACCCUACUGUACAGUGUUUCGUGAUAAACAUUUUCUUAUGAACACCAUUAUUAAAUUGAAUACAAUAUUAUUGAAAGGUACUGUUUUAAGUUUUAUAUACCGACCAUAAUGAAAUUCAACAUUGAACCCAACCAGAAAGACAAUAUAUUUCAAAUGGCGCCAACAGGGGACAAGACCAUUGCAUGCUUCACGUUCAAGUUUGGAGGAUCUACGAACUAGAACUUUAUCAGUUUUUAUUGUGUUUUAUCAGUGACACUGGAUUUUGUGUGUUAUGUGAAGUGUGUGACUUUAACCAGUGCCGCUGCAAAUUAAAGGACUGGAUAGUGACAUUGUGAUCUAGUGGCCAAUUUCGCAGAUGUAACCUGUAACAGUAUCGUGAGUACACGUUGUUUUCAAAAUAUAGUAAACAUUGUUUUCAAAAUAUUCAGAAAUUAGUGGAAAAUAUAGUAAACAUUGUUUUCAAAAUAUUCAGAAACUGCAGUUAUAGUUUCCGAGUCCAAACUGGUUAUUUU